AUAAGUAGAAUUAUAAAGAUGAAUAGAAGUAUCAAUAUUAGAGGUUAUUUGUAUACUUAUUCAUAUUGGAAUAUUUAGAAAUAUUUAGUGUGAGAAAGAGUGAAAAGGUAUAUGAGCAGUCUGCGCUGUACUCUGCUUCCACCGUUUCCACGACGGCUUACAUAUAUUCCUUCUGUAUCAAGUUGUGCGAGUGAUAUACAGGCAGCGAAUACGUAGAAAACUGACCAUAUCUAACGUCGAAUAAUUAUCUCGAUAACGGAAAUAAGCUAUUGUGAGGUCCGGCCGCUUUGCUGCAAUUAAGGACAAGAAGGCGAGUCUACCUGAAAUUGUUUCGCUGAUUCCAAGGAAAGGGAAAGAAAGAUUCCGCGACACUUGGAUCUCAUUGGAGCUUUUUUUUGCAUUGAUUUUUAAAGGAGAGUGCUUUCAGAGACAUAUCUUUUGUGGGAGAAUCUCUCAUUUUCUAGUGACUCACGCCGAACAACGUAUUCGUGACGGGACUUUAUUUCGGAAAUUUAUUGACUCUCGUUGCCCUUCACCUGUUUGUUUACAUUGCCGAGACGGUUGCGCGAGGAAACAUAACGAACGGUUAGAUAGUAGAGCAGAGCAGCCGAACAGAUAAGAAAGAAUGGCCAAAAUUGGAUGGAAGUGUGUUAUACCACGAUGUACGUCAAACACUAAAACUCCUGGACAUUUUUUCCCCAAAAAUCAGAAAAUAGCGGAGAAAUGGCUCAAUAUAAUAGCAGUGCCCGAAUUAAACUUUUUGUCAGAAGAGGAUAUUCGAAAAUGUAAAAUUUGUUAUUUGCAUUUCAGUCCAGAUGCAUAUAUUUUUAGUUUGAAACGCAGACGAUUAAAACAUAAUGCUGUACCAACUCUCAAUUUAUUUCAUCAAAGAACCGAAGAUAUACCUCAGUCGAGUACAAGUGCUCAAAAUGUCAAUAUUCUAGACAAUAAUAUGCAAUUAAACGAAGAGAAUGUUAAUAUAAUUGCAGAAGAAGAUCAGCACAUUGAGAUACAGAUAGAAAACACUCCAAAGAGUUC